rnacentral:lncRNA from 1 species
UUGAGCAAUAGAUUUUUGGCUUGAGGAGGCAUCGUUAUGAUUGAGUAAGAGGAGGGAUGUGGAGAGUUAGACGCCGAUUUGUCUGAAGGAGUAAUUAAGUAGCUUUGUUUCGUCAUUAUAGCCGUCGCAAGCGUUAUACGGAGGAGAUAGGAAGACAGUGAGUUCUGGAAGGUUUUCUGUAGACGUCGUAACAAAAUUAGGUUGAAGUAAGAAGAUGGCAAAACAAAUGGGCCAUUAAAGCUAAAUGGUCUAUUACGCAGCACAGAUUCGUGGCCCAACAACUUAACAUCCAUGAUGACAUGGACAAAUGAUUGGUUGCGAAUUUUUUCGCUGACGUGGACAGCUUAAGAGGGCUUCAUAUUCUCCUUUUAAUAGUGUAAGAUUUAUUUGUUUCGAUAUAUUUAUUUGUUUGAAAUAUCAUUAAUUUAUGUUAACAUAUUAAAUGUCUCUAUUAAUCUUUUCGUAACCAGGUUAAAAUCUUUCUUAAAAUUUAAAAUACUCUACAUUUAAUAAUAAUAAAAAAAUUCUAUCAUCUUAUGUAUAUUAUAUAUUUUCUUAU